GCGUGCUAAUACAUGCAAGUUGAACGAUGAUUUCUGGUACUUGUAUCAGAAUGAAGAGUAGCGAACGGGUGAGUAACGCGUGGGUAACCUACCUCUUAGCGGGGGACAACUAUUGGAAACGAUAGCUAAUACCGCAUAACAAUAUUAAACACAUGUUUAACAUUUGAAAGUACCAAUUGGUACACUAGGAGAUGGACCCGCGUUGUAUUAGCUAGUUGGUAGUGUAAUGGACUACCAAGGCGAUGAUACAUAGCCGACCUGAGAGGGUGAUCGGCCACAUUGGGACUGAGACACGGCCCAAACUCCUACGGGAGGCAGCAGUAGGGAAUCUUCGGCAAUGGACGAAAGUCUGACCGAGCAACGCCGCGUGAGUGAAGAAGGUUUUCGGAUCGUAAAACUCUGUUGUUAGAGAAGAACGUUGUGUAGAGUGGAAAAUUACACAAGUGACGGUAUCUAACCAGAAAGGGACGGCUAACUACGUGCCAGCAGCCGCGGUAAUACGUAGGUCCCGAGCGUUGUCCGGAUUUAUUGGGCGUAAAGCGAGCGCAGGUGGUUUAAUAAGUCUGAUGUAAAAGGCAGUGGCUCAACCAUUGUGUGCAUUGGAAACUGUUAGACUUGAGUGCAGUAGAGGAGAGUGGAAUUCCAUGUGUAGCGGUGAAAUGCGUAGAUAUAUGGAGGAACACCGGUGGCGAAAGCGGCUCUCUGGACUGUAACUGACACUGAGGCUCGAAAGCGUGGGAAGCAAACAGGAUUAGAUACCCUGGUAGUCCACGCCGUAAACGAUGAGUGCUAAGUGUUGGAGGGUUUCCGCCCUUCAGUGCUGCAGUUAACGCAUUAAGCACUCCGCCUGGGGAGUACGACCGCAAGGUUGAAACUCAAAGGAAUGACGG
rnacentral:rRNA from 1 species